AAGAGUCAAGAAAAUUAUUCGGAUGAUACUGUAGAGAUGAACUCAUCUCUGAGCUUAGUGGCUGUGGUACUCUUACUGCUUGGACAAACCCAUGGAGACUUGGUGACCCAGACAAAAGGCCAAGUGACCCUCUCAGAAGGGGCUUCUCUGACUGUGAACUGCUCCUAUGAAACCGCACAGUAUCCAACUCUUUUCUGGUAUGUUCAGUAUCCCGAAGAGGGUCCACAGCUCCUCCUGAAAGCUUCAAGGGACAAUGAGAAGGGAAGCAGCAAAGGAUUUGUAGCCACAUACCGAAAACAGCCAAAUGCCUUCCAUUUGGAGAAAGCCUCAGUCCACCAGUCAGAUUCUGCCAUGUACUACUGUGCGCUGAGUGACACAGUGACAGACACUGCAGGGGGAGCUGAGCACAGACUCUAAGCAGCAAGGAGAAGGCUUGGUGUUGAGUAUCUAUUACUGUUUGAUUCACUAUGUGGAUUUUAUUAUUUA